rnacentral:tRNA from 1 species
UGUGGUAGCACAGUGGUUAGGGGAGUGAGCUCUGACCCCAAGGAUUGUUGGUUCAAAUCCAGGCUCAGCACAA